rnacentral:rRNA from 1 species
GCCAGACUCCUACGGGAGGCAGCAGUGAGGCCUCUUGGUCAAUGUUCGGUCGCCUGAACCCGCCCAGUCGCGUGCGGGAAGACGGUCCUAUGGAUUGUAACCCUCUUUAGGCGGGGAGCAAUGCCGGGCCCGCGUGCCCGGAGGGAGAGUACCCGCAGAAUAAGCAUCGGCUAACUCCGUGCCAGCAGCCGCGGUAAUACGGAGGAUGCGAGCGUUAUCCGGAUUUAUUGGGGUUAAAGGGUGCGCAGGCGGCGUGUCAAGCAAGCGGUAAAAUAGCGGGGCGCAACCGCGUCGAGCCGUUUGAACUGGCGCGCUUGAGGGCAGGCGAGGUAGGCGGAAUUCGUGGGGGAGCGGUGAAAGGCAGAGAUAUCACGAAGAGCUCCGAUUGCGAAGGCAGCUUACCAGGCGGCGACUGACGCUCAGGCACGAAAGGGUGGGUAUCGAACAGGAUUAGAUACCCCUGUA